GUUUACUCUCACCCAGUGAGUUCCCAGAGAGUUAUAUGGGGACUUGGUCAGCUGUGCUGUGAGGUCAUAAUCUCAGUAUGUCCCACAUGGAAUGUCGCUGGUCAUUGUCCCUGAGCAAGAAGCACCCCUUGGGAGCAGAGAGUAAGCACUUAAUUGAAGGCUUUCAGUGAAGUGGUGGCUGAGGGUGAGUCUAGGGGGCAGCUGGCACCAGGCCGCCUGCCAUCACACUCUUGCUGGCCUCCGCCAGGGUCCCAGCUUUCUCUGAAGACAGCCCGUGGUGGCAGGAAACAGCCAGAAGCCAGAGGCAGUGCCUGAGGGCUUCUGAUGACAGUAGUUUAGCCAAGAACCAGACCCACAAAUGUGGGCAAGUUGGUCUGUUCUUGGGGCUAGGGGAGCAGAGUGCACCAGUAUGCUAAGGAUAGUCCCCUGUAGGGGCAAAGUAAGCCCCAACCAAGAUUCAGGGAAACAAAUCUGGCAGGAAGGAAGCUUUAGUCACUGGAAUGCCAGAAGGCUUUCUUUCUAGUCCACAUCAGCAGAAGACACUUUCUAGGAGGUUCUGAGUGACCAGAAGGACAAUGAGCCUGGAACCUGGACUCUGUGAGCCAUACAGGGUAGAGGAAGGAGAAGAUGAGGGUAUCCUGUGGAUGGGGAGGCAUAAAGAAGCUUCUGGGUCUAGGAAGAUGUGGAAGGGGCAAAGUCCUGAACUGACAGUGCUUACAGGCCAGCAAGAAGCUGAAGCAAGUACACAGCAAAAGAGGAAGAAUCCUAGUGGGACACUGAUGAGCCUGAGCUUGUCCUGGUGA
rnacentral:lncRNA from 1 species